UCUGCCCCUAUCGACGACGUUGACGUCUGCCGCGGACACUGAUUUUGAUUUGUCUUCCAUCACCCGCAAAGCUUUAAGACUGACUUCUUUAGUGCACGGAUCCAUACGAUUUUUUGCUGAUAAACCUAUGGAACGUCACCUGAACUAGCUAGCAUAGCACUUUAAUUCCAAACUAUAGACGAAUAGAUUCAUAAUUGCAUCUAGGAUGAAUUGUAAACAACUAUUUAUACCGGCGCUAUGCAUACUCUUUUGCAUAUUGGUGCCUUCUGUCCUAUCAAACACUGCCUUCCUUAUUCCACC